rnacentral:sRNA from 12 species
CCUCUGCUAUCAGAGGCGGCGCUGAGUGCAUGAGAAUUAAGCUCAUGGUUCGGCUAGUGAAAACCCUCAGAG